GAACCUGCGGAGGGAUCAUUGCUGG
rnacentral:rRNA from 1 species